CCUCGGGAGGCAGCAGUGAGGAAUAUUGGACAAUGGAGGCAACUCUGAUCCAGCCAUGCCGCGUGCAGGAAGACUGCCCUAUGGGUUGUAAACUGCUUUUAUAUAGGAAGAAACCUUGGUACGUGUACCAAGCUGACGGUACUAUAAGAAUAAGGAUCGGCUAACUCCGUGCCAGCAGCCGCGGUAAUACGGAGGAUCCAAGCGUUAUCCGGAAUCAUUGGGUUUAAAGGGUCCGUAGGUGGAUAAUUAAGUCAGAGGUGAAAUCUUGCAGCUCAACUGUAAAAUUGCCUUUGAUACUGGUUAUCUUGAGUUAUUAUGAAGUAGUUAGAAUAUGUAGUGUAGCGGUGAAAUGCAUAGAUAUUACAUAGAAUACCAAUUGCGAAGGCAGAUUACUAAUAAUCAACUGACACUGAUGGACGAAAGCGUGGGUAGCGAACAGGAUUAGAUACCCUGGUAGUCCACGCCGUAAACGAUGGUUACUAGCUGUUUGGGCUUUAUGUCUGAGUGGCUAAGCGAAAGUGAUGAGUAACCCACCUGGGGAGUACGUUCGCAAGAAUGAAACUCAAAGGAAUUGACGG
rnacentral:rRNA from 1 species